rnacentral:rRNA from 1 species
GAUGAACGCUAGCGGCAGGCUUAACACAUGCAAGUCGAGGGGUAGAAGGAGCUUGCUCCUUUGAGACCGGCGCACGGGUGCGUAACGCGUAUGCAAUCUACCUUGUACAGGGGGAUAGCCCAGAGAAAUUUGGAUUAAUACCCCAUAGUGUAACGAAAAGGCAUCUUUUUGUUACUAAAGUUCUAACGGUACAAGAUGAGCAUGCGUCCCAUUAGCUAGUUGGUGUGGUAACAGCACACCAAGGCAACGAUGGGUAGGGGUCCUGAGAGGGAGAUCCCCCACACUGGUACUGAGACACGGACCAGACUCCUACGGGAGGCAGCAGUGAGGAAUAUUGGUCAAUGGGCGCAAGCCUGAACCAGCCAUGCCGCGUGCAGGAUGACGGUCCUAUGGAUUGUAAACUGCUUUUGUACAGGAAGAAACACUCCCUCGUGAGGGAACUUGACGGUACUGUAAGAAUAAGGAUCGGCUAACUCCGUGCCAGCCGCCGCAGUAACAC